AUUGAACGCUGGCGGCAGGCCUAACACAUGCAAGUCGAACGAGUGGCGGACGGGUGAGUAAUGUCUGGGAAACUGCCUGAUGGAGGGGGAUAACUACUGGAAACGGUAGCUAAUACCGCAUACCAUCGGAUGUGCCCAGAUGGGAUUAGCUCGUAGGUGGGGUAAAGGCUCACCUAGGCGACGAUCCCUAGCUGGUCUGAGAGGAUGACCAGCCACACUGGAACUGAGACACGGUCCAGACUCAUACGGGAUGCAGCAGUGGGGAAUAUUGAACAAUGGGCGCAAGCCUGAUGCAGCCAGGCCGCGUGUAUGAAGAAGGCCUUCGGGUUGUAAAGUACUUGCAGCGGGGAGGCGUUACCAGCAGAAGAAGCACCGGCUAACUCCGUGCCAGCAGCCGCGGUAAUAC
rnacentral:rRNA from 1 species